rnacentral:rRNA from 1 species
GAGAGUUAAAUAGUACGUGAAAUUGUUGAAAGGGAAACGAUUGAAGUCAGUCAUGCUAGUGAAAAAUCAGUUUAACGGGUUUUGAGUUCGGGAGUAGAGGCAGGGUCAAACCGUUUCUCUUUUGUACUUGGAAUUUGUUAGAUGUACUUUUUCUUUGGCAGGUCAGCGUCGAUUUCGGAGGUUGUAAAAUACUUGGGGGAAAGUAACUCUGCUUCGGGAGAGUAUUAUAGACCCUGGGGGAUGCAGCCUGCGGGAUCGAGGAUUGCAGCAAAUGCCUUUGGCUUGUCGCCUGAUCUCUGGAUGUUACCUCGCUUGUGGCAACAUUCUUGCCACCUGUGGGUACUAAUGCCCAUUAGGUUAGAGCGAUCAAAAAUUUUGCUAAGGAUGCUGACGUAAUGGCUUUAAACGA